CAGCAGGAUCGAGCAUAAAACCAGCAAAACGAAGAUCAGCGGCUGAAGCAGCUCCCCGCGCUCCUCUUGCUUUUGCAGAUCUGAAAGCCCCCGGGAAGAAGCGCAGAGAGGCUGUGCCUGGCUGUAAGUAGCUACACGGCCCCAUUAACCAAACAGAGCCUGGAGAACCUCUGACAUAACUCGAGGAGGGAUUUGAUCUGGUUGAGAUGGCUGCAAUCAAGAGGCUCCUGGCUGGGUGGGGUAAUUGAACACCCCCGAGGGCUGCCGAGGGAAGCAGGUGUGUAUGGACUCUUCUCAGCCGGAACAGACACAUAAAAGCAAUUGAAUUGCACCUGAGAUGCCUUUUUGUCUCUUGCUAACAAAAAACCCCACAAAAAACCACCGAGGUGACUAUAGCACAUAUAUGUUUACACUUUGAGUGUCUAAGGGAGAUAAAUGUCAUCACAGAUCUAUAAAAGUUCCAAAAUCAGUGUUUUCUCUUUACUUUCAGUUUUAACAUAGAUAAUAGCUUGCUGAUUUUGUUACCUUCUUUCCCAAUAAAAAUUU